rnacentral:rRNA from 1 species
UACGGGGGGGGCAAGCGUUGUUCGGAAUUACUGGGCGUAAAGGGCUCGUAGGCGGCCCACUAAGUCAGACGUGAAAUCCCUCGGCUUAACCGGGGAACUGCGUCUGAUACUGGAUGGCUUGAGUUUGGGAGAGGGAUGCGGAAUUCCAGGUGUAGCGGUGAAAUGCGUAGAUAUCUGGAGGAACACCGGUGGCGAAGGCGGCAUCCUGGACCAACACUGACACUGAGGAGCGAAAGCCAGGGGAGCAAACGGG